GGGGCUGUAAAGGUUUCGACGGGGAUUUUGAAGCUGGUGAAGCUAUCCGCAGGGUGAUGCGUUAAAUUCCAAAUUAAAUAUAAACGCUGAAGAAAAUUUAGCAAUCGCUGCCUAAUGGCAGCAGUCUGACCUAGUGAACCUACGCACAAGGACCCAGGCUUCGUAUCAGUAGGAAACGACUUAGCCAAAGCUUUGAGGCUAAUGGGCGUAUUAUGAAGCUACUAAGCUAGUUGGCGCGUUAACUUGCCGGUUAGUAAGGAAAUGAAACUAUAGUUAACUAUGAUAGUAGAAGAACAGUGAAUGGGUUUUCGGACAGGGGUUCGACUCCCCUCAGUUCCAUUU
rnacentral:tmRNA from 1 species